AUGGACCGCGCCGAUCCCGCGCGGGGCCGCCUCGCCGUGCUCUCCUCCCACCUCCUCGCCGCCGGCGCGGAACCCGCGGCCGCGCUGGAGAGGUCGCCGGCGUCGGCCGCGGCCCCGGGGACCCGCGCCGGCGUGCUCGCCGUGGUGGACUCGAGGACCGGGAAGCGGUACGAGGUCAAGGUCUCGGAGGACGGCACCGUCCGCGCCACUGACUUCAAGAAGAUUACCGCUGGAAAAGAUGACAAGGGUCUUAAGACUUAUGAUCCUGGUUAUCUCAACACUGCCCCUGUGCGUUCUUCCAUCUGCUACAUUGAUGGGGAUGAGGGAAUUCUUCGCUACAGGGGUUAUCCAAUUGAGGAGGUUGCUGAAAGCAGUUCGUUUGUUGAGGUCGCCUACCUCUUAAUGUAUGGGAAUUUGCCUUCUCAGAGUCAACUGGCAGCCUGGGAGUUUGCAAUUUCACAGCACUCUGCUGUUCCUCAAGGACUCUUGGAUAUCAUACAAUCAAUGCCUCAUGAUGCCCACCCCAUGGGUGUCCUUGCCAGUGCAAUGAGCACACUUUCUGUCUUCCACCCAGAUGCAAACCCUGCCCUUAGAGGGCAAGAUCUGUACAACUCAAAGCAGGUUAGGGAUAAGCAAAUUGUGCGAGUUCUUGGGAAGGCACCAGCAAUAGCAGCUGCAGCCUACCUGAGACUAGCAGGAAGGCCUGCCGUCCUUCCUUCAAAUAAUCUUUCUUAUUCAGAGAAUUUCUUGUAUAUGCUAGACUCUUUGGGUGACAAAGAAUAUAAGCCAAAUCCCCGACUUGCACGGGUUCUAGAUAUCCUUUUUAUUCUCCAUGCUGAACACGAAAUGAACUGCUCAACAGCUGCUGUUAGGCACCUUGCUUCAAGUGGUGUCGAUGUCUUCACUGCUCUUUCUGGUGGUGUUGGAGCUCUAUAUGGUCCACUGCAUGGUGGCGCAAAUGAGGCGGUACUUAAAAUGUUGAAUGAGAUUGGAGCUGUGGAGAAUAUUCCAGAUUUCAUUGAGGGAGUGAAGAACAGGAAACGGAAAAUGUCAGGUUUUGGGCAUCGUGUGUAUAAGAAUUAUGAUCCUCGCGCUAAAGUCAUCCGGAAGUUAGCAGAAGAGGUUUUCUCGAUUGUCGGACGGGAUCCUCUUAUCGAGGUUGCUGUUGCUUUGGAGAAGGCAGCACUGUCAGACGAGUAUUUUAUCAAGAGGAAGCUGUAUCCAAAUGUGGAUUUUUACUCUGGCCUGAUUUACAGAGCAAUGGGAUUCCCUACAGAAUUUUUCCCUGUGUUAUUUGCAAUUCCUCGCAUGGCUGGUUGGCUAGCACAUUGGAAGGAGUCACUUGAUGACCCAGACAAUAAAAUUAUGAGGCCUCAACAGGUAUAUACGGGCGUUUGGCUGAGGCAUUACACCCCUGUGAGGGAACGAGUGGCAUCUAACCAGGGCGAGGAACUUGGUCAGAUCGCUACAUCAAACGCGACGAGGCGUCGCCGUGCCGGUUCUUCCCUGUAG
rnacentral:rRNA from 1 species